rnacentral:RNase_MRP_RNA from 1 species
GGUCUGGUCGAGAAGCUGCUUCGUAGUAUACAAACGGUUUUAACCUUUAAACUAUGGGGAAAGUCUCUGUGCAAUCUUCGCCGAAAGGGCGCUCGGGAAAUCCGUUGAGGCUUAGGGCUCUAAUUUGUGCGUAGUACUUUUGGAGUCCUAGGUCACCUGUGCCGUUUCAGCAUUAGGUAAUGCAGCUGAUGCAUAGCAUUUACAAAAUAGAGCUUAUCCACGAACCAGAC